GACGAACCGUCCGAACGUUAUUCGGAAUCACUGGGCUUAAAGGGUGCGUAGGCGGCGCGGAAAGUUGGGUGUGAAAUCCCUCGCUUAACCGAGGAACGGCGCCCAAAACUACCGUGCUCGAGGGAGAUAGAGGUGAGCGGAACUUUAGGGUGGAGCGGUGAAAUGCGUUGAUAUCCUAAGGAACACCGGUGGCGAAAGCGGCUCACUGGAUCUCUUCUGACGCUGAUGCACGAAAGCUAGGGUAGCGAACGGG
rnacentral:rRNA from 1 species